UACGGAGGGGGCUAGCGUUGUUCGGAAUUACUGGGCGUAAAGCGCACGUAGGCGGCUUUGUAAGUUAGAGGUGAAAGCCCGGGGCUCAACUCCGGAAUUGCCUUUAAGACUGCAUCGCUUGAAUCCAGGAGAGGUGAGUGGAAUUCCGAGUGUAGAGGUGAAAUUCGUAGAUAUUCGGAAGAACACCGGUGGCGAAGGCGGUCUGCUGGGCAGUUGCUGACACUGAGGCGCGACAGCGUGGGGGAGCAAACAGG
rnacentral:rRNA from 1 species